CAGGGCCGUAACUAGCCUCAUUUAAUAGUGAGGCAACAUACCCUUGCCGAGCGUAACGAGGCGAAAAAAUUUUGGCGAGGGGUCUGGGGGCCGCUGAAGGCCCCCAGAAGCUAUGAGAAAAAUAACGCAAAAUCGUGCAUUCUGAGCGUUUCCCGGACUCUUUCUUACAUUCUGGUCACAAAGCAAUAACAUAGAUCCUUUGUAAUUAUAGACUUUUUGGUUUUAGAAGAUGUAGGAUAAAGCAAAAAUUGUAAUUCUCAUAAUCAUUAAUACCCGAU
rnacentral:lncRNA from 1 species